rnacentral:rRNA from 1 species
AUGAUGCAGGUUGGUGGUCUUGGACUUUCCAAAGUAAAGUGCCACACGCUCAUCUCUUGUGAUGUGAGUGGAAUGCUUCCAUGGAUGGCCCCAGAGCUUCUGAAUGGGACUACCAGCUUGGUCUCUGAAAAGGUUGAUGUCUACUCUUUUGGGAUUGUUCUGUGGGAAAUCCUCACGGGAGAAGAACCAUAUGCAGGUUUACAUUACGGUGCUAUUCUUGGUGGUAUUGUGAUGAACACUCUGCGGCCGCCGGUGCCUGACUCAUGUGACCCAGAGUGGAGAUCUCUGAUGGAGCAAUGCUGGGCGGCAGAACCAUUACAACGCCCAAGCUUUACCCAGAUUGCUGCUAGAUUGCGCUCCAUGGCUGCAGCCAAGAAGGCGCAGCCCUACGGUAACUGA